UGGAAUAACACUACGUUAGUGUUGGUUAGACGAUGUCCGCUUGACGAGUAUCCCUCGACCGAGCACUUGCUUAAUUUAACCAUCUUCAGGUUGGUCCAUCAGCUUCAUCCUGCGGAUUUAGCACGUGCUUGGGGUCGACUUGGCUCGUCUUCCGCAUCACAUGAUUAUUUAUCGUACCUCAUGAGAUGCACGAUGCACAUGUAUGAGCACAAGUAGAACGAGUAUAAGAUAGAUACUCUAUACUAAAAAGGAUGAAACACUUAAAAUCAAGCAUUAAGCACCAUGGAUAUCAUAGCAGAGCAUCGACUACAUUCAUUAACCAAAUUGACCUAAUAACACUAGAAAAUCUAUUUUUAUUCCUAGCUUUUUAUUAACUCUCUAAACUGUGUAACUUAAUUACUUGAUUUAGCGAGCUAUCUAAAUCGAUCAUCACAAUAUACGCAUGCUAAAUUCAUAAUAUUUACUGUGACCAACAAUUCUAUUUAAUCUAUUUAUAGACCUAGUUAACGGGAAUACGAAUCAACUUACCCUGACUAAUUCGACGCGAUAGUUGCAAGCACGAGGAUGGUUCCCGGUUGACGUCUUUGAUCACAUAUGGCUGGCGAGUGAUGCACACACGACGCGACGACGAGAUUGAGUAUGAAGCGAGCUGACGAGGUGUGAUCGAGCAGCUUAGCGCGAGCUUUGGCCACCAGCAAGCGCAGUAUCGACGACGAGGAUCGAGGCGGGGUUGACUAGCACGACAAGCCCAUGCAGUGGGCAAGGGCCAACGGUCGGGAGAUGGCAGCACGGUUCAGGCAAGCCCGCGCAAACACUGAACGAGGAAAACGACGGCUCGCCGACACACGAAGCUAUCACCUCCCAGUUGGACAUUCCGUCGAGCAUCGGAUAAGCGACGCACGGAACAGUACUGUCUUCUCUAAUCCCAGCUCGAUAUCGAGGAUCCACCGACUGCAAGCACCUACACUACUCCUGCACAUCCAAGACAACGGCCAAGCGAGCACGAAGCCGCGCGAGGAAACAGAGCGCGCGCAGGGCGACGGGCACCGCGGCACGUCAGGGAGCCGGACGCGGCACACAAGGAGAUCCACGGCUGGAAAAACGCCGGCCAGCAGAGAAGUAGAGGUGAGGGCGCACCAUGGACAUAGAAGGCAGUGCGCACCCACGGAACGAGCAGAGGCGAGCGUGUAGCGUCCGAUGGGUGAGCGACUGGAGCAGGGUGCGGCUGAGGAAUGGGCAGAGGCCAAGCUGGGGCACCGCAGCGCCGGAGAGGACGCGCAGAAAGAAUCCACGGCGAGGGAGCUCGGGGGAAACCGCGGCGCGUGCGCAGGGACGAGCAGGGCAUAGAGAGCAGGACGCCGAGCGCUAGUCACCGGAGCAGGGAGCUGGGCGAACUCCAUGGGUGAGCAGGAGUCGAGCUCGCAGGGGAAGAGGCUAGGGGAAGCCGAGCGGUCGAGCUGAGCUACGGUGGCCAUGGCGACAAGCGAACAGAGGGGAGGGGCGCUGGGGAAGAGAGCGGCGUUGGGGGCCGGGCGGCCGAGCUCGGCUGGGAGUUGGGGCUGGGCGCUGGAGAAGUGGAGAGGCUGGGCGUGCAGGAAGCUGAAGCUUGCAGGGAAUCCGGCGCUGGGAGCUUCGAGCAGAGGAUCCACAUCCGACCAGGCGCCGGGGAGAAGAGGAGCAGAGGCUGGGCGAGUCACCAGGGAGAGGCGACCGCGCCAUGGGGGCUCGGUAGGGAGCAGGGCAGGGGCACUCGGCUAAGAGCAGAAGAUGGACACCGCGAUGGGAUUUUUAUCCAGGGUGGCCGAGCGGAUGGGAACGAGGCAACGGCGGUGAGAAAAAUUUUGAGCAGAGCGGCGGCAGGGAUAAGGGAAGAAGACGGCUGGAAGGAUAGAGCCGCGAGAUUUUUCUUCCUGAGCAUAUGAGAAUAGCAGAAAGCAGAGCGCGUAGGGAAAAAAAUCUGGGAGGGGCGACGAGAUAGGGAAGAAGACGCUGAAGAAGAUAAGGGAAUUCAGAUUUUGAAUCCUACGCGAGAUACAAACAGGGUAGACCAAAAUGAAAUCGUACUCUAUAUUUUAAUCAGCUUUUAUUUACUUAGAAAUUAGAUAAAAAUUUAUUUGGUAAGGAAUAUAUUUAAUUACUAAGGUUAGAGUUUUAGCCUGUUGUUAAUAGAUCAAACUAAACGAUAUCGGAUUCGAUAUUUUAUUCUGCGUGAUUCGACUAAUAUUAGCCGAAACCAUAUCGGCUAAAGUAUACACGAUUUCACCGUCAAAACAGCGUGCUGAAGAAUAAACUGGGUCAUAAUCUCGCGCACGAUUUCAUUCAGACGAUGCGCGAUGCAGAUUAUUUUGCCCCGAACAUUUUAGUCGUCGAGUUCAAAUUAAUUUGUUCGGGAUAAAAAAAAUUGUCCAAGUGGUUCGGGCUUCCGAAUUCGUAUUCGCGCGAGCGAUGAAUUUUAAAUAAUCACCGGACGCAGCGAUUUUCGGAACAACGAUGUUCCGAACAUCACGAAAAUUUUGGAAGAGCCCGGACAGAUAAAAAUAAAAAUGACGUCGCACUCGCGACAGACGAAACAGAUGCGAUAUUAAAACUGCGAUAGAUGAAAAUAAUUAGACCUUAGUGUCCGUCUUAUUUACUAAUUUCACGUGCUUAAAUCCGUACUCGUUGUCGAGCGGAAUAUAAACACCAGGGGUGUUACAGCCCUCCCCCCUUAAAAGAAUCUCGUCCCGAGAUUCGGAGCGAAAGACUUCUAAGAGUAGAGAAGCAUGUAACUCAUGUCCAUAUCAGCGAUAAUCGUAAGACAUUUCCAAACAAAGGUGAGUGCCUCAGGAUGGGGUUUCUCUAGCGGAUAUAACAUGUAUCGCCUUAAGCUAAUUUAGAAAUGUCCACCAAUAGAGAUGAUGUCUGCCAGAGGAACACAUAAGGUUCCAUAUGUGCAGUUUGCUUUUUCUAAUGACACUGUACUAUCUGAGUCUGUUGAGCAGGCGACAAAUACGCGAUUUUACCCAAACAGGACCAGAUGCAACCUCUUGGGUAAAACACACAGAAAGAGGUUUACCAACAAGCGGUCACGGUAAGUUCAUAACACACGAGAUGGGUGUGAAUGUCGAAUACAUCAUAGUUAACUCGUGUUAGCUAGAAAAUCCAAGUCCAAGAAAAUGAUAGACUCGAAAAAUCACCAGCGAAGGGAUCUGUAGAUGCUGCCUUCAUAACCAAUCCAUUUUAUCCAUCACUAGGCAUGGCUCGACUUGAUCACUCACGCUGGAAAAACACAUGUGAGGCGUUCGAGACACGACUAGAGCGAUAAUUAGGUGGUUACUGGCUGACUUAAUCUCGAUUCUUGAAAGUACUUUCUUCAGAGUGGGUUAAACUAGAGUGAGUUUUAUCAACUCGACAAACGAUCUCUAAACUCAAUCUUUGAUCACAAGGCAGUUACAAGUUAGUAAAACCAACUUGUUGAACUACUUUUGACACUGAGCAAGUCCUCUCAGUACCAUCGGUAAGCCAAGGGUUCAGAGUUCACUCAGGUCGCCAGGUGAUCAUGCACUUGGGUAGAAAUCCAUUUGGUCAUGUUGUUCACCCGUUUUUGCAUGCGAGAUGAACAGAAUGGGUUCGGAAAUACAUGGAUUAAAUAGGAGAGCGAAUGAACAAACCCCUGCAUCUCAACAGCAGGGAAAGUCAAUCUCCAAUUUGAGAGCUAAUCAGUUGUUUCUCAACACUAAGAAGCUCCAAGGCUUGUGUGAAGUUACUACAAAAGUCGAGGGAAAAGAUACUACACAUAGAAAGCGGUAUGCCCUUUUGAUCCAACGGAGAUGAUAGAUGUUGCUUGAUCAUUUGACAAACAACAUAGAAAUUGUUUCAAGGGAACGUCCACGAAAGAUAACCAUCAGGGUAGUUCCACAAUGGAUCAUGACCAGAGACCUUGAUACCAGCAUCCGACGAGUGGCACAGUCCUGUGUGCGCAUUCACAGGAGGCUCUCAGUUUCGCAGCGGCACCAUAAGUCAUUAAUCAUGACACCAUUACCGAACUAGCACCAAUAGAGAAUCUCACGUAGCAAAAAUAGAUUGUGCCAAGACAACACAUUGAUAUAGUCUCAUAAUGGAUUACAACUAUUAUCCGUGAUACCAGCGCGUGCCAAGCAGCGCAUCCAUGUGUCGAUCGUCCACAUGAGGCCCUCGGUUUCGUCGCAGCACCAUCGGUUUUAGUUAUAACGCCAUUACCAGACGUAACCAAUAAGAAAUCUCACGCGACACAAAUAGACUGAGCAAGGGUAACAAUAUACAAAGAGAUACUCCACCUGUAAGAAUGGUUACAAGUAGAGAGCCAAUAGAUCAUGGCCCAAUGAAAUGAACAAGACAUGGCCAUAACCUAAAUUUGAUGGAAGGCGUACGAUGGGAGACUGUUACUUCAGCCCAAGCAUAUUUCUAUGUCCAUCGCAGGGAUCACAAGGUCAAGGAUUAGUAUCUGAUUAGAUACGGAGGGAAAAUAAUCAUGAGAUUAAGUUGGUAUGCCUUCGAUAGAAAUGAGGAAAUCAAAGGCAUCAAAUUCAAGAAAAUGAUUGGACAUGUCUUUCCUGGGUUAGGUUGAUAAAACAACAUGGCGAUCCCUAAGAACAGGCAAACUGGAAUAGAGACAUUAGCUUGCGCUAAUCGAACAAGGGCAUGGUCUAAGAUGGAAAUAUGACUCGAGGUUCUUGUUUUAAGCUUGAGUACACUUUAUGUUCAGCAAAGAAACUAUCUAAGCAUUCAUUUGUGUGUGUUUGGCCAUGGAGUGAUAACGGAAAAAUUCAACUUUGGGUCAUGGUUCACUAAAUAAGAACCUAGCCUAGUUUUGGGUUUAGGCAAUCAAAUUACCAAUCUUUGAUCAGUACAUCAAGCACUAGAGCAAACACAUAUAUCACCUAAACAUAUUACCUAAAGAACGGAGGACAACUAUUUCAUCGAAGUUCAUAAUUCAACAUUACACCACAUUAUCUACAAUCAAUGGUUACUGGAAUAGAGGCGAGAGAAGCAUUUUGGGUGUAUAGGUGACAAACAUGAUGCAACAAUUAGGAUGCAUGCUCGUCCUACACGUCCUCACUGAUUUUGCCAACAUAAUGUGGCAAUAACGUUCUAUACCGGUGGCAUACUUACGAUUCUCACGGUAUUUUACUAGUCGUCAACUACACAUACGUUUUUGAGGUUAGUGUACCUACAGAAAAUUCCAUCACAGCCCAUGUUCCCAUGAUGCAGUUCACACAUGACAGUUUAUCACAGUUUAUACUCCAUAUAUUUCUAUAUGGAGGCCAGCUCAUCAUUAAGCACCGAGCCACACAUAGGCGCCGUUGCCACACUUUAACCAUAGGGCAACUCAUUAUGGUAACUCACCUUCUUACCUUAGCGUAGGUGCGUCGUUACAAGUACAUUACACUUCUUAGUAUUCCCAUGUCUGUAUACCCAUACACAUCCAUGGGGUACUGAAUUCCAGAAAAGUAAAUACUCCACAUCGCAAUCUUCAUAUAUACAUAUGUAAAACAUGUAUAUAAUCGGACGCCACAUUUAAACACUCCCCUAGACCGACGAUUGUUUGGUCAUGCUCUCACAACUCACCUUACCUGAGCGUCGAUCCAUUCAGAACUGAAUGGCCUCAAAAUAACAAUACACAUGUAUGCAAUACCCCUGGUUGUGGGUUAGUGGUUUUAAACUAAGCCACCUAAUAGUCCUUAAUUUAGGGCUUAACAGAGGAUGUCGCUAGCAUUAUAGUUUUUCAAAACUGUUUUUCAAAGCCAAACAAUGUGUUUAGUUGAAAAUAGGUUUUUCGAAACCAAAACUUUUGUUUUGAAAAUACGUAUGUGACCGUAUAUACUUAAUCCUGCUCCGAUACCAGCUGUGGCAGAACCUCCCAAGUUAUUGGGCCCACAUGCACCUGUCCUUGUCUCAAAGACCUCAGACAGAUAUGCAUGUGCACCAGAUAACUUAACAGGAUCCGUCCGAGUGUCCCAAGGACCUCGGAUAAACCACUUACAACCAGGAUCGCAAGAUUAAGUAAACACAAAUCACACACCAACAUUUUGCAGCGGAAAAUCUUAUUACCAAAUUUUACAAGUUACAACAAGUUUACAUUGUAUUUAUCGGAGUGAUUACAAAAGUGGUUUAAAGGAAUAACUUUGAGAUGUUAUAAAUUAUUUGUAAGUUUGAAAUAUAUGCUAGCUCAAGUGACCAUCCUCAAUAAGAAGUAUAGAAGAAUUACUUAGACUUAUAAGAAGGCCGAGCCCACCGGCACUUAACACCAUCAACAGCAGCACAAAACUAUAACCUGAAAAACAACAGGGAAUAAAACCCUGAGUAUGGAAUUACUCAGCAAGACUUACCCGACUAAAGAAAAGACUCUCAAGGGUAUGCUGGCUAGAGGGAUUCAAGGUAUGGCUUAUCAAGAAUCAAAGACUCUGUUUUGCAGAAGAGCUUACUAGUAGUAAAUCCUUAUGCCAAAAUUUUACUUCACAAGUUUAGUAUUUUUCCUGAAUCUAGAUUUGCCUAAUCUAGAGCAUCCACUUGUCCUGGUCUAGCUUUCUUUUAGCCAAUUCAUAUUUCACUUGUCAACUACGAUGAGUGGUCGGAGGGUAGAGUCUCCAUGACCGAGGAGCAACGACGAUUCGAACCGAUUAUACCCAGCUGGGGAUCCCUAACCACACGACAUAUGUAGCACUUAAUCCUUGCAUAUGUCAACCGUUCCCACAGAUCCUCCACAACGUGAACCGGUCCGCGCUACCCGGGAGCACAGUACUCCUCCAUCCAGCCUCUAGCCAGGAGGGUACACGCUACUCCCACCAUCUCCCACGCCCAGUGCGCGGUUGUCUUUUCACGUAUGGAAUAGCCGGGUUCAGGCUUACCGGAGCAUGUGGCUAGUUGCAAGGUCUCCACCACAACAGGCCUACAUCGAACGGUCCUUAAUCGACACAGACGGGCGACCACGUCUGCUCAGCGUCUGGUCUAGAUGUAUUCAAACCAUUUUCCCAUUUUUGGUACCCGACAGGGGUACUCUUUUCCAAAUGAUGAACCCACUCCGGCCGAAGUGGAAUCAUCACCAUAAGUUUGCUUUGAUUUUUGAAACGAAAGGCCCAUAACCAAUGUUCCACAAUCAUUCUUUUUGAAAACAAAUGAUUUUUUAGUUUCUAAGCAGGGCUAAGCAUUAUCAGUUCUUUUUAUAAAACCGGGAUUAAGGAGUUUCCAAGGAAUGGUAAUGCAUCAAUUGUUUAUCACACAACUCCUAUCACCUAAUGCAUCAGAUAAGGUGAAAAAGCAUUUAAAACACAAGGAAGGGGCAAAUGCACCGGGGCUUGCCUGGAAUAACACUACGUUAGUGUUUGUUAGACGAUGUCCGCUUGACGAGUAUCCCUCGACCGAGCACUUGCUUAAUUUAACCAUCUUCAGGUUGGUCCAUCAGCUUCAUCCUGCGGAUUUAGCACGUGCUUGGGGUCGACUUGGCUCGUCUUCCGCAUCACAUGAUUAUUUAUCGUACCUCAUGAGAUGCACGAUGCACAUGUAUGAGCACAAGUAGAACGAGUAUAAGAUAGAUACUCUAUACUAAAAAGGAUGAAACACUUAAAAUCAAGCAUUAAGCACCAUGGAUAUCAUAGCAGAGCAUCGACUACAUUCAUUAACCAAAUUGACCUAAUAACACUAGAAAAUCUAUUUUUAUUCCUAGCUUUUUAUUAACUCUCUAAACUGUGUAACUUAAUUACUUGAUUUAGCGAGCUAUCUAAAUCGAUCAUCACAAUAUACGCAUGCUAAAUUCAUAAUAUUUACUGUGACCAACAAUUCUAUUUAAUCUAUUUAUAGACCUAGUUAACGGGAAUAUGAAUCAACUUACCCUGACUAAUUCGACGCGAUAGUUGCAAGCACGAGGAUGGUUCCCGGUUGACGUCUUUGAUCACAUAUGGCUGGCGAGUGAUGCACACACGACGCGACGACGAGAUUGAGUAUGAAGCGAGCUGACGAGGUGUGAUCGAGCAGGUUAGCGCGAGCUUUGGCCACCAGCAAGCGCAGUAUCGACGACGAGGAUCGAGGCGGGGUUGACUAGCACGACAAGCCCGUGCAGUGGGCAAGGGCCAACGGUCGGGAGAUGGCAGC
rnacentral:lncRNA from 1 species